rnacentral:rRNA from 1 species
GACGAACGCUGGCGGCGUGCUUAACACAUGCAAGUCGAACGAUGAAGCCUAGCUUGCUAGGUGGAUUAGUGGCGAACGGGUGAGUAAUACGUGAGUAACCUACCUUUAACUCUGGGAUAAGCCUGGGAAACUGGGUCUAAUACCGGAUACGACCAAUCUCCGCAUGGGGUGUUGGUGGAAAGCGUUAUGUAGUGGUUAUAGAUGGGCUCACGGCCUAUCAGCUUGUUGGUGAGGUAACGGCUCACCAAGGCGACGACGGGUAGCCGGCCUGAGAGGGUGACCGGCCACACUGGGACUGAGACACGGCCCAGACUCCUACGGGAGGCAGCAGUGGGGAAUAUUGCACAAUGGGCGCAAGCCUGAUGCAGCGACGCCGCGUGAGGGAUGACGGCCUUCGGGUUGUAAACCUCUGUUAGCAGGGAAGAAGAGAGAUUGACGGUACCUGCAGAGAAAGCGCCGGCUAACUACGUG